CAGAUGGACAUGGUGGAGGCGGCCAUGCUGGAGUGGGGAGGAGGGCCAGUCAAAGCAGCAAGCCGAGAAAUAGAAAUGAGACGUGAACCUCUGUUAUUCGCAGGUGACACAAUUGUCCACCUAAAGAUCUGAGUCACUGCCAUUGUGACUGUCACUGGCCAUGUGCACCGGCUGGACGUGGGAUAAACUCACAGCCCCCAACAGCCCCUCCCUGCACACCUGCCUCGCCAUUGUGAUGGAAAUUCCAUCUGAACCUGGGGCCUCCAGCACGUGCCAGUCACUCCGCCCUCCAUGGCUGUUGUCAAACAAGCCCCUCCGACCUCUCAGGGGUGAUGUCUGUGAAGACUCAGCUCCCGACAAGAGCCUCUCAUCUGAAGACGCAGGGCAGUCAGCACUGGGAGCCAGGGUGAGAGCCGAAGGGAAGCCGAGGCAGCGGCGUUCCCUAAUGGAGUAUGAGGGGGAGGGUCCCACAGACCUGGAGCUGCAAAUUAUAGCAUGUGACUGUAGUGACAGCUUCGGUGAUCUUAGAAAAUGACCCCCUAGUAGCACUGAUGAUGAAGCUGGUGAGGUCGGAGCAUGUGGCUGCGCCAGGGAGCAUUCCAAGCACUUGGCAUCUAUUAAUUCACUGAAUUUCGGCAUUAACUUCUUGUCGAAGUUACUAUGGACAGACGCGGAAGCUUCAGCAGAGAGGUUGAGCAAUCUGCUCAAAGCCACACAGAAAACAGUGACAGAACCAGGACUAGAAGCCAGCCGGUCUGUACAUAGGAUCUACAUUCUCAACCAGUGAGUCUCCGAUUCUAAAAAUAAAAAAUGUUGAAGAUGAAAGACAGCAAGUCUUCAAUACCAAAUUUAAUACCAAACAGCUGGAUUAAAAAUUCACAUCAGAAGCAGAAGAGCAAAACUAAUACCACAGAGAAUCAAUUCAAUUUUAAGUCCAAACAUGAGUUCUUCCAAACGCCGAGGUAAAGGAUAAAAUUCACAAAUAUAAUGAGAGAAAAGAUAACAAACAGAGUGUAUAUUUAGCUGAGACAAAACCUGAAAAUUCAAUUGCUAGGGAGAAAAAAAAAUAAGAUCAAAGUAAUAAAGAAAUAAUUGAGGAUCAGGUAUUCUGGGCUGAAUGGACAGAGGUGUGUGUAUUUGGAGUAGAAGAACUUAAUGAAUUUCAAGAAAAUCAGGCCACCUAGACAUGCAUUGACGAGUUUUUCAAUGUAGAAGACCUAAGAACAGGCCUCUCACAGGCAAGACGAAUAAUACACGAUCUGGAAAUGAACUGCCUCAGGCUGACCUCAGACCCCUGUCCCACUAACCAGGGUAUGGCAAUAUCCUCAGGGCUUCCAGGGCAAUCUUUGGUGGACUAAGGCUCUAAUUUUCCUUUUUUCAAAUUAUUACAUCUUUCUCAAAUAAAGAUAACAGCGAUGUAUUUUCACAAAAGCAAGAGCUUAGAAAGUACUCCACCCAGGUAUCCCUCUUGGAAAAAAUGCUUAAGGAAAUAUGACAAAUGGCAAAGUGAUUGUUAUGGAUGGAAUGUUUGUAUCCUCCCAAAAUUCACAUGUUGAGACCCUAAUUCCAAUAUGAUGGUAUUAAGAGGUGGGGCCUUUGGGAGGUAAUUAGGUCAGGAGGGUGGAGCCCUCAAAAAUGGGAUUUGUGCCCUUUAAAGAAGAAACCGUGGAGAGAUUAUCUGGGCCACGUGAGGACAGCAAGAAGGUGGCUGUCUGUAGACCAGGAAGAGAGCCCUCUCCAGAGCACCACCAUGUGGCACCCUGACUGAUCCUGGACUUCCAGCUUCCAGAACUGGGAGAAAGAAAUGCCUGCUGCUCAAGACCCUCCAGUCCACGGCAAUUUGUUAUAGCAGCCCCAACUGACUGUGACAGAGAAGAAGCAAAGACAAGAGUUCCAGAACGUAGAAGCUGGGGUAUCAAAGGGCUGGCCCAGAUACAAAGACAGGAAGACACUGACCUAGGUCCAGAUAACCAAUGUGCUCAGUUAUAACUGCAAAUGCAAAUUUCACAUAUUUUAUAACAGAUGCAUACAACAGAUGCAUAUUCUACAUCCUAAUUGAAUGGCAGUGAUAAUAUUCUAAUACUUUACUGCAUGCUAGUGUGAGAGGCCGCUAACCACACGUGGCUCUUGAGUGCUUGAAAUGUGGCUCAUGCCAGUUGUGGAAAUGGUAACAUUCUGGAUGUACCGGGUUAAAUAAGAUCUAUUGUUAAAUUAAUUGCACCUGUUCCUUCUGCCAUCUUUAAAUGUGGCUGUUAUAAUAUUUAGGAUUGUAUGUGCGGUUCUGUUUCUACUGGAAUAUGCUGUAUGUUGUUUUCAAUCAAACAAGAAAGACUGAGAAGCGGGUGGGGGUGGAACCGUGGGCUGAUGUUGAGGAGAGCAAGAUUAAUUCUGUUUUAAAUAGAAAUUCUCGAAUUGCGGUUCCAUUCCUCACUUUAAUAGUUAAAAAAUAAGCAUAAAGGUAAACUUAAAAGCUAUUUAUUGGUACAAUUAAAAACAGAAUGUAUAUUUUUCAAAACAGCAAAUAAAAGUAGAAGAGAAAAAACAAACCGUGGUGGAUAUCCUAAAGACGGAAAAGCAACCGAAACAGGCGGAAACCUCAAAAGCAGAGAAGACCAUGAAAACGUGAGGAGGAGCAAAACAGCCAGUUGGAAAGGAAAGGAAAUUGCUCCUGAUGUUUCCUAUUAGAUGAGAACAUUUCUCAAAACGGUUUAUAAAAUAAAAACCGAAAUAAGGUAACUAAUGUCACCAUUAAACAGUAACGGGAGGGAAAAGAGACGUCUCCCAGGUCCGACGGCUGCCGGGGCCCACACAGAGCCUCCUCUCCCAUCCUCCCCAAGGGGUGACGGCACACAGCCUAGAAAUGGGGACUCCCGCACUAGCAGGGCCCCC
rnacentral:lncRNA from 1 species